UGCCAGCCGCCGCGGUAAUAAGAAGGGUGCUAGCGUUGUUCGGAAUUACUGGGCGUAAAGAGCAUGUAGGCGGAUGAAUUAGUCAGAGGUGAAAGCCCCGAGCUCAACUUGGGAACUGCCUUUGAUACUGUUUAUCUAGAGUCCGAGAGAGGUUAGUGGAAUUCCCAGUGUAGAGGUGAAAUUCGUAGAUAUUGGGAAGAACACCAGUGGCGAAGGCGACUGCCUGGCUUCAGACUGACGCUGAGGCGCGAAAGCCUGGGUAGCAAACAGGAUUAGAUA
rnacentral:rRNA from 1 species